rnacentral:sRNA from 1 species
UUUUUUUUUAAAAAAAUUAUUUCUCUCUCUUUAAUUUGUUCGUGCAAGUGCGACGCAUAGCAGCCAACCUCGCCGAGGCGGAGACGACGGCGAUAUUGUCUCGUUCUCUCGCCUUCCCUCGUCGCCGGAUUUCGUCUCGCAGGAUUCGUCGCGCGCGUCCCCGUCGCCUGAUUCCUUUCGCCGUCCUCCUCGCUUGAUUCAUCUCGCAGGCGGCCGGUUCGUCCAAUGGCGAGGGAGGGAAUAUCCUACAUAUUAUUGAAGAAAAUGGAGGAGAUAACUGGUUCACAUGGCGAGCUGCUGUUGUCGUUGGGUGGAAGCAGGUAGCGGGCACAUGCUCUGGCAGUGAUGGUGAAGUUGGUGUGCUUGGUGACGUAAUUUGAUUACCUUUUGAAGUGAUGAGGAUGAAUUGACAAUUUUCCACUGGUUUUAGCAUAUGAGUGCACUGUGGUAUGUUGCUAUACACGAGCUCACAGGGAUCAGGGACGCUAGAGCACUCGGGCUUGACGGCGCUUUUUUAAUUUCUCCUCUUUCUCUUGGGGAGUCAUUUGCGCAUAUCGCUCCCGAUCUCUCUGUCUUUUUCGUAUAUUGGGAUCCAAGUGUGAAGAUGGCGAUCCAGAUGGUGUGGUAGCAUCAAGCAUGGAAGAUGGAGCUGUUGAUAAACACAUAUAUAGGCAAUAUAGAAAGUGUUAUUCAAGGAGUACAGGUAGACAAUUGCAUAAGCACUUGGCAAGCGAAAGGAUCAACUACGAUAUUAUACCAAGUCAUGAACAGUGCAUCGAGGCUACCUGAUGACAUUCUUACGAUAUACAUGUGUGUGCCUGAAAUUUAAACUUUCUUCUACUUCAGAGGCUACAUGAUGACAUUCUUGCUGGUUGCUGCUGCUAGCUGCUGUGCUACCUGGUGUAUUCUUUUCUUGCAAUUUUGCUCCUAGCUUCUAUGCCAAGCUAAUAUGUGGUGUGGUGUGGUGUGGUGUAUAUAUGUAACUAGCUAGCCUAUAAUCCUACUCGGUACGCUUACGCUCGGAGAGAAAAUCGGAGAUGUUGCGAUGGCACAACCGUGAUGUAAGCGGUGGACGGACGGACGGACGGACGAACGGAAAUGGCUGUUGAAGCAUAUUUCAGUUGCAUAUUUGUUUUUCCUACUACAGUUGACUAAUGCAGAUGAUGUGAACUACAGUAAUCUGUAUGUGACCAGCAUGUUCAUAUUACAGAUCAUGUUGACAUAGAGGAAGCAUAUUAUGUGCUAACAAUUUCUGAAGAAAAAUAUCUAUCUAUCUAUCUAUCUAUCUAUCUAUCUAUCUA